rnacentral:rRNA from 1 species
AACGAACGCUGGCGGCAGGCCUAACACAUGCAAGUCGAGCGGACCUUUCGGGGUCAGCGGCGGACGGGUGAGUAACGCGUGGGAAUAUGCCCUUCUCUACGGAAUAGUCCUGGGAAACUGGGGGUAAUACCGUAUACGCCCUUUGGGGGAAAGAUUUAUCGGGGAAGGAUUAGCCCGCGUUGGAUUAGGUAGUUGGUGGGGUAAUGGCCUACCAAGCCGACGAUCCAUAGCUGGUUUGAGAGGAUGAUCAGCCACACUGGGACUGAGACACGGCCCAGACUCCUACGGGAGGCAGCAGUGGGGAAUCUUAGACAAUGGGGGCAACCCUGAUCGAGCCACGCCGCGUGAGUGAUGAAGGCCUUAGGGUUGUAAAGCUCUUUCAGCUGGGAAGAUAAUGACGGUACCAGCAGAAGAAGCCCCGGCUAACUCCGUG